AGCGAACGCUGGCGGCAUGCCUAACACAUGCAAGUCGAACGAGACCUUCGGGUCUAGUGGCGCACGGGUGCGUAACGCGUGGGAACCUGCCCUUAGGUUCGGAAUAACUCCCCGAAAGGGGUGCUAAUACCGGAUAAUGUCUUCGGACCAAAGAUUUAUCGCCUUUGGAUGGGCCCGCGUUGGAUUAGCUAGUUGGUAGGGUAAAAGCCUACCAAGGCGACGAUCCAUAGCUGGUCUGAGAGGAUGAUCAGCCACACUGGGACUGAGACACGGCCCAGACUCCUACGGGAGGCAGCAGUGGGGAAUAUUGGACAAUGGGCGAAAGCCUGAUCCAGCAAUGCCGCGUGAGUGAUGAAGGCCUUAGGGUUGUAAAGCUCCUUUACCCGGGAUGAUAAUGACAGUACCGGGAGAAUAAGCUCCGGCUAACUCCGUG
rnacentral:rRNA from 1 species